GGAACAAUCACCUGAAGUUACAUGUAAAGAUAAUCUUACAGUGGUUGGGCCUAUAGGGGGGUGGAUAGUGAUACAAUGUAAUAUUUCAAUGCCUGAAACUAACCUUCCCUCUGAAUUUGCAGUUUGGAAAUAUCCAGGAGGAAGUGAUUUACAUAAGAGUACAAGUAUAUUUUGGGCCAAUACCACAAAUGAAGUGAGGAUAAAGAUGCUGCUGGAAAGAAAUUUUACAUUUUCCCAG